AAAGUCCGAAAAAGCUAAGUGUUUGUCUGAGAAUUUCUUUCUUCUUUCUUCGAUUCUUUCUCGUCUCUUCUCUUUUCUAUGUGAGAAUGAUCAAAAUCCCGCUUCUCUUCAUCAUCACCCCUUCAAGAUGAAGGGGAGAUAUAAAACCCCCAGCUUACUCAUGAUGUUAGUGUGAGAAACCCCAGACAAGGGUUUGAUAAAUAGAUCAACGAUUUGGGAUUUUGAGGGGACAAACGACUGUGAGAUCAAGCCAGCGAGAAAUUCUUGUCGAACAAAAUGGCAAUUCAGCUCUACAUAUUUAGUUCAUUCAUGGAAGAUUAGAUUGCGGGAAAUAUGAAUUGUCGCCUGGCUGUCAGAGUGGUAAGGAACAAGCAAAGUUGGAGGAGUAGAUAAAUCAGCUAGGAGUCGAACAAGCCAUGUGAUUUUAGCAGUCACCCGUCUUAUGGAUCGAUACUCAGAUUCAGCGGAUGACAAAGAGACGGAGAGCUGCUUCUUUGAUUUCAAUGAGAUGGCAGCACCACCAAGUGUAAUAAAAAAGCCACUGACGGAUCAACGAGAGUUUUUACAAGCAGCACAGUCAGCAUCACAAAAGGCGACUAAAUCUAAAGAGGGAACAGGGGAAAGAAGGAUGCCUUGGCCUGGAUCUGAGCGGAGAUACCGGAGUACCCUGAGGCCUGUAGAGAAGUGUGAAAGAGAGGGCCUUUGCAUAAAUUGACUUAAGGCAAAGGACGGCAAAGCAAAUAUCUAGCCUGGUAUUGGUGAGGUAAUUAAGUUUACCCACCAAUUGUUGAUAGAGAGUGGGAUGUGCCAUGAGUGGUUCUAAUUAAGCCUGCAAUUUGGAGUAUGGGUCAAGAGGAGAUGUGACAUCAGGGUCUGCACAAUCAAAUUCACUCAAUAGUUUCAAGUUGGUACAACUUGGCUCCAUUACACUGUACAAACCUGUGUUCAAGACUAUUCCACGAGUCCUUUGCAGAUUUUGAAUAGAUGACACUGUCACCUACCUCCUUGGACAAAGAGUUCAAUAGCCAAGAAGUGACCAUGAAGUUGCAUCUGCUCCAUUGAGUGUGCAAGUAUGAAUAAAUUCAGACUGUGAAACUAAGAAUGGCUCAUUAAAUCCGUUAUAGUUUGUUUGAUGUUAUCUACUACUCGGAUAACCGUAGUAAUUCUAUAGCUAAUAUGACCAACAUGGAGAAUUCAGCCUCGCAGUAAUGUCAUUAUAAUACUCGAAAUAUAUUCAAAUAGGAGUCGGGGUAGUUAAAGGUACCAUAUGAGUGUUACAGGGAUAAAAGAAAGUGUCACUGGGAACGCAGCCAAAAUAUCAAUUCAGAAGCAACCCUACAAGCACAAGGGCAUCUUUGGCAUUAGGAUUUGUUUCAUCACAUAGACCAUGUAUAAAGCCUAUCUUAUUCUUGGUUGAAAGAGCUAUAAGGAUUGAUCUCCUCCAUCCUAAAAAGCUUCUACCAUCAAAAUGUAUGGUAACAAAGCUCAUACCAGGAGCAUCAAAGGAAUGAAGAAAGUAUGGAUGAUUAACAUCCUGUGAGAUUAUUUGACUGGUGGAACCAGAGCCAACGGGAAUAGAAGGAGUUUUUGUCCCUGUCUUGGCGUAAUACUAAAUUUUGAGAGAAAAUGGUGGAUCGAGCUACUGCUGCUCUGAUACCGUGAUAGAAAAGGAAGAACAAAUUGAGGAAAUUUUCUCUGCUUUGUAUUGAUAAUGUACAUGUCUAUAUAUACAGAAUUAUCCUAUUGUAAAUAACAAAUGAAGAAUACUCCUAUACACUUGUACUACUCCUAUUGUCUACAGUGUAACAGAAAAAGUGAAAAUAUUCUUUUCCA